CCCAGUGUGGCGUAAUGGUAUCAGUGUUGGAUUACAACUCUGGAAACCAGGGUUCGAUUCCCAGCUUGGCCA